UAAAAAAAAUGGAAAAAAAAUAAAUGAAUAAAUAAAAAUAAACACAAAUAUACAUGGGGAAAUUUAUCAUAUGGCUGGCAAGGAGGGAGCCAUCGACAGUGACCUCGUUGAUCACUGAUUUUUGUUUGUUGUCAUAUUGCUUGACGAGCGAUUGAAAGAAAGGUAUAUAAUAUCAUGGAUUAGACUGGUUAUUUUGCAGAUCUUUUUUUACAUGGUCAUUCCUUAAGAAUAAUUUCCUAAAACUCUCUCUCAUUUAGAAUUUUGUUUUAUCUGGGAAAAAUCAGCUAGGAUGUCCCAUUUUCAACCCAUCCCACAGACAAUAAGAUUAAAGGUGAAGUGGCUCUUUUGGUAUUUUAAAUACAACAUUUCUUGUGUUUUCUUAUUUAAUUUCCUUUGUAUUAUGAUGUUUAUGAGCCAAGCUGUUUCCUUAAUGUUAUUAUUUGAUUUCAGGAAUUCUAAUAUGCUAUUGACACAUAUCCUGAAAAGCUGCAAAUCCUUGUAAUUAUGGUUAAGGAAGGUUAAAUCUAGGAGUUAAUAGACCAGCUUGGUGGUUAUUUGGUCCUUAUCAUCAUAAUUCUUUCUGAGCAAUUUUAUAGCUGUCAUAAUUUUCUUCAGUAACAGCCAAUUAAAAAAUUAUUAGGUAGGCAGUACCCUUUAGUUGGUUUAGCAGAUAGGAAUAUUUAUUUGUCUUUGCAAUAUCUUGUCUUUGAUGGAUUAAUCCUUUAUACUUAUGUAGUGCUGGGAAAUUAAUUAUGUAUAUUUCUACUUUUUUCCUAGGCUAAGGCCCAUGUAAUGUGCGAGGAUGACCAGAAUCUCAGUACCAUGUGACUAACCCCCCCCCUUCCCCUCCUCUCCUCAGUGUCCUUUUGUCCUUGCUUUUUCCCCCCCCCUCUCAGCGUCACUGUGUUGACCACUUCUAUAACAAAUUUACCCCGUGAAUAAACGUAAUUUCUCCUGCUUGGCCAGGUUAUAGAGGCAAAUUUUUCACCUAAUCCCAGAGAAUGGGGAGCCCUUAAUACGAUAAAAUUAGUUCUAUAAUGGUAAGGUCUUAAACCAGCUCAAACAAAUCCCAGAUAAUUACGCCGCGCCAAUGAGGUUGACGAAUCUGAUAAAUCUUCUUUGCUUCGCCGUCCUAUUACCCCUGUUGCUACGCAAGCCGGGAAGAGAUACCAGACUUUGACUAAUUCCCUAAUUGAUUUCAAAAGUCCAUUGAAUUAAACUUCUUAAAGUAACAACUAUAAAGUAAACAGUAACUUAAUUAUUCAUAUUUUUCAUCCCUGAACUCACAACCUAGUCGCCCCCCCCACUAAAAAACAAAAUUAUAACUUAAUAAAUUUCCCCAUUGGAAACCUUUAUCCUUAGUUUCCCGCCGAUUUCCUCACAAGCAAAGCCAGUCUCUCUCGGAUUCUCCUCAGACCCUCUCGGAUUCUCCUCAGAUAUUCCUGUUGAUAAACUGUUUUCUGAGUGGAUAGAUAUUCGCAUUUUUUCGUUCUUUUUUGUUGGUUUUCUCCACGGGACUAGUGAAACCACCUGGUUCGAGAUCACCGUGUGAGACUGUCCUCAGGUUUAUACAUACUUUUUGGGUAUAUAUUUGUUAUUUAUUUAUUUAUUCUCUGGUCUCCCCCACAACUCAGUAGUCGCGAAAAUAUCUCCAUCGUAGUUUUUAUGUAAUUGAAGAAUACGCUACCAUUAUUUUUGUAUUUCUGAACUAUGUAACUGAAGAGUACGCUAUCAUUUAUUUUGUAUUUCUGAAUUAUGUAACUGAAGAGUACGCUACCAUUUAUUUUGUAUUUCUGAAUUGCUUUCUUUUUAUUAUUAUUAUUUCGGAUUAUUCCAUUAUUUAUUAAAAAUCAUAAAAGUGUCA